AUUGAACGCUGGCGGCAGGCCUAACACAUGCGAGUCGAGCGGAUGAAGGGAGCUUGCUCCUGGAUUCAGCGGCGGACAGGUGAGUAAUGCCUAGGAAUCUGCCUGGUAGUGGGGGAUAACGUCCGGAAACGGGCGCUAAUACCGCAUACGUCCUGAGGGAGAAAGUGGGGGAUCUUCGGACCUCACGCUAUCAGAUGAGCCUAGGUCGGAUUAGCUAGUUGGUGGGGUAAAGGCCUACCAAGGCGACGAUCCGUAACUGGUCUGAGAGGAUGAUCAGUCACACUGGAACUGAGACACGGUCCAGACUCCUACGGGAGGCAGCAGUGGGGAAUAUUGGACAAUGGGCGAAAGCCUGAUCCAGCCAUGCCGCGUGUGUGAAGAAGGUCUUCGGAUUGUAAAGCACUUUAAGUUGGGAGGAAGGGCAGUAAGUUAAUACCUUGCUGUUUUGACGUUACCAACAGAAUAAGCACCGGCUAACUUCGUG
rnacentral:rRNA from 1 species